rnacentral:sRNA from 1 species
AUAGAAGAGGGGAUCACAGCCAUUCGUGUGAUGAACCUGGAUGUGUGAUGAACCUGGAGUAUAUUAUGCUAAGUGAAGUAAGCCAGAUGCAGAAGCCCAGAGGCUGCACAAUCUCACGUCUAUGUAUACUGUGACUGGCUGAGUCUAUACAACCAGAGGAGAAUAAUGGUCACCCAGGGCUGGGGAUUGUCAACUGCAUCUUCAAAAAGUCGAGGGGGGAAAUUUCGACCACUGCUUCUGCUUCCUAUAAAAGAGCCUUGGUGGGGACACUGUGACGGUCCUUCUGUCACUGCUGCCCUGAGGUCCCAAAGAAUCAUCCAGCCCUUCCUUAAAUGGAACCAGGAUGCCACGUGCAGAAGAAAGGCAGCCUAGAUAGAGGACAAUAGGCACCUCCUGCAGUCCGUGCUUCCUUCUAGACGAUUCCUCGAUUCCGUGCUUGAGAACCAGGACUCUGCUGAGGCUGCUGUAUAAAUGUCCUGUCAGCCUGUUUAUCCUCACAGGGCAGUUUCUUGGCUACCCCAGCACUGUUAAUUGCCCUCAGCCCAGGAGCCUUUGAAGGGAUAAAAGCCAGAUUGCAGACACACACUAGUGUUUAUCACGCACGUCUUUCCUGGGGGUCCCUGUCCCAGGAAGGGGCAGGUCCUUUUCUUCCUGUGCCAACUCUGCUGCCUGGGGUUGCCUUGUGCCCCUCCGCCAGCUGCCCUUGAACUGAGCUUCUGAUUCACAGAAGAUAGCUCAUUCUAGCAGGAAGCAGCAUCUCAGGAUGUGAGAUGCUGAAAUGGAUUUUUUUCGUCACCUGUGUGUUUCCGUGUCACAGCUUUCUCUCCUGUGUGUAACCUUUCUUCAUCCGAGUACUGUGCACAGAAGUACCCCACAAAGGCUCUUCAGAGUUUGUAUUUGUAAAGCGCUGAGUUGAUGGAGACUCUGCACAGGAAAACACCACCCGUGCAAGCACGGCAAGAAUGCUCGAAACAACUUGAAGUUUCUAAAGAGAUGCAAUGAAAUGUGGGUGCUCAAGAGAGGGCGAGAAGGCACCCCCAUUCAGGAGCAUCAGGGGCUGUGUGUGAACUCAACAAGUGUCUGGUUACAUCAUUUCACCUUCAAAAUAUAGCAGGUGCUGUCAGUGCUGCCCGUAUAUGCUUGGGUGUGGGACCAAGCCAUGUGAACAUGAAAUCCUACCUGUAGCCACAUUGUCCCCAGCCGCUAUCAACUGCCAACAACUCUUCAGAUAGGGGUGGAGUCUGGAGACCACCUAUCCAUGAUCCCAGCAUUUGGCUGGCUUGAUUUCGUGGAGAUCUUGUGCAGAGGCUGUUGGCCACCAGCCUGUGUGGACAAAGGGAGCAGAAGCAGAGAGCAGGAUUCGGAAACCUGUGAGGAUAACGAAAGAACUUCUGGAGACCUCUGCAGUGAGACAGGUCCACUUUAUCGUUCCACAGAUGGGGUAUACAAGGGCUUUUAGGGGAACGGGUGGAAAGGGUUAAUUGACCAUAACAAAGCAUCUAUCAUGGCGGCGGGAAGGACUGAUGGUCAUGAUAUAGUAUGGAAUCAUUGUGUGGGCAGGAAGCCAGAGUGAGUCUCAUGUGCCGAAUUAUGCAGCAUUUUCAGAGAUUUUUUGCACAAGGUCAUUUUUUCAGUUAAGACCUUGCUCAAGGGACACUCUCCAGACAAAACCAGGCAGAGACAGGGAAGCCCUGCAAGAAAGGGAGUCCUCCAUUUUGCUGUGAUCUCAGAAAGCCAUCCUGUCACCGGGGACAGUGACCUUCCUAGCAGGGUUCUUCAACAGCCAAGAACUAAACCUCCUAAGACCUGUGCCCUUUCCCAGAUCCUGCUUUCUGUUGGCUGCAGGGGUGGAGAAGACACUGUGUGCUCACCUUUUCCCAGGCUGUGUUUGAGAGGAAAAAGAGCUCUAGUUAAGGGCCCUGGUUUCGGAGCCUUGCUAACUAAAUAGGAAUUCUGGAACUAAUCGGUUUCUUGCAAAAUAGCCUGGAGCAAGCAAGGCUUAGUUAACCACGAUUUGUUACUGUUCCUCUACAGAGCAGUAGGUUUGUGACCUGUGUGCUCAGAAUGGAGCCUGACACACAGAGACAUCCCAACAGGUGGGAGCUGAGGAUACAGGAGAGCGAUGGCUCCACCUUUCACUGGUUUCCUGCUUUGGAUGGCAUCUUACCAAAUUGUGGUCCUGGGUCUGACGUGGCUGGAUUAGGAUGAUCAGUGUGGUUGCUGGAGGGCCAUAGGUGUGUGAUACCUACUGAACCUGUUACUUCAUGCACACACUGUCCCAGUCGGGUCCUGUAAAGGCUCAGCGGCUUUAUUUUAGGGACCCACAGUGGGAGAGUGGCAGCAAUCCGCUCGGAGGAAACACAUCUCCUAGCAUUUCUCCUGAGUGGAAUUGCUGGAAGGUCACCCAUCCUGGUACCUGACAAUCUGGGAGGCUGAGUCUCUCCAGCCUAGGGAACCACUUGGCUUGACAGUUUAACCUAUCUUCAGAGUAUUUCCUACUCUAGAUUCUUGGAAGUUAACUUCCUUACAACUAGCUCCACUCCUCUUGGAAGUUCGCCACCGGUGUUAGCUUUACCACUUUAAGCUUCAACGAUGACCGUGGGGUUGCUCAAGGGAGGUCCUGACUUACUUUUCACCAUCUCUGUGGAUCAUCUUUACAAGAAGUCAAAGGCAACUAGUCUCACAGAAGUCGCUCAAAAAGCAAGCACACUUGGAGUUGAACGGGAACCCUGGAAACCAAGUCAUUUUUUGAUGAGGGCACCAAGAAAAUAAUAGGGGGGUAUUCUUUUUAAAAUGGUGUUGGGGAAACUGGGUACUUAA